rnacentral:rRNA from 1 species
AUUGAACGCUAGCGGGAUGCUUUACACAUGCAAGUCGAACGAGUGGCGGACGGGUGAGUAAUAUAUCGGAACGUGCCCAGUAGCGGGGGAUAACUACUAGAAAGAGUGGCUAAUACCGCAUACUCUUGGAGCGGCCGAUAUAGGAUUAGCUAGGUGGUGGGGUAAAGGCUAACCAAGGCAACGAUCCGUAGCUGGCUUACGAGGACGACGGGCCAUACUGGGACUGAGAAACGGCCCAGACUCCUACGUGAGGCAGCAGUGGGGAAUUUUGGACAAUGGAGGAAACCCUAAGCCAGCCAUACCGCGUGUAUGAGAAGGCCUUCGGGAUGUAAAGCAGUUGUGACAGAAAAGCGGUAUCUGCAGAAUAAGCACCGGCUAACUACGUGCCAGCAGCCGAGGUAAUUC